AUUGAACGCUGGCGGAAUGCUUUACACAUGCAAGUCGAGCGGCAGCACGGGGGCAACCCUGGUGGCGAGCGGCGAACGGGUGAGUAACACAUCGGAACAUGCCCAGUCGUGGGGGAUAACACUUCGAAAGAAGUGCUAAUACCGCAUACGUCCUGAGGGAGAAAGCGGGGGAUCUUCGGACCUCGCGCGAUUGGAGUGGCCGAUGUCAGAUUAGCUAGUUGGUGGGGUAAAGGCCUACCAAGGCAACGAUCUGUAGCUGGUCUGAGUGGAUGACACGCCACACUGGGACUGAGAGACGGCACAGACUCCUACGGGAGGCAGCAGUGGAGAAUUUUGGACAAUGAGGGCAACCCUGAUCCAGCCAUUCCGCGUGAGUGAAGAAGGCCUUCGGGUUGUAAAGCUCUUUCGGCAGGAACGAAACGGCGAGCUCUAACAUAGCUUGCUAAUGACGGUACCUGAAGAAGAAGCACCGGCUAACUACGUGCCAGCCGCCGCAGUAACAC
rnacentral:rRNA from 1 species